rnacentral:lncRNA from 1 species
GUCUGGUUUCCUAAGGGAGGUAAUAACUGACAGGAUCCCCUGACAACAAAAGGAACAGCAAAAAGUUGGAGGUCCAAAGAAAACACACACUAGCUCCUUGGCCCCUGAAUAGCUAAGGGACGGUCAGACCUUCAUCUGUUUUAUUUGUCCAGGGGAGGCAGAUCACCAUCACACUAUAUUCAGGUCUCUUCCCUCAGAAGUCCCUAUGGUGCUUGGUUAGCUGUCAGUGUUGUUAAAUAGCACGUUUCUCCCAGAACCAUUGGAACGCCUCCUGGGGCAGAAGACUUGCCCUUGAAGGUGGCCUGGCAGGAGCUGCCUGGGGUCUCCAGAUCUGGGUCUCUGGAUGGUAGCUCUGCUUAACCUGCCAAGGUUCCAUGUUCAAGUAGUUAAGUUAGAGGCAGCAGUUCCCUCCCCACUUAGGACCACAACAGCCUGUAUUUGUUUUUCUUCUAUUUGGUCUCAUUUACCUACUCCUUGCUUUGUAAAAAUAAAACACAAAGGUUUUAU